UCGCCACGGUAAUACCAGCCCCGCGAGUGGUCGGGACGGUUAUUGGGCCUAAAGCGCCCGUAGCCGGCCUGGUAAGUCCCCUCCUAAAUCCCCCGGGCUCGAACCCGGGGACUGGGGGGGGAUACUACCGGGCUAGGGGGGCGGGGAGAGGCCGAGGGUACUCCCCGGGGUAGGGGGCGAAAUCCUAUAAUCCCCGGGAGGACCACCAGUGGCGAAGGC
rnacentral:rRNA from 1 species